CCUACGGGUGACUGCAGUGGGGAAUAUUGCACAAUGGGCGAAAGCCUGAUGCAGCAACGCCGCGUGAGGGAUGAAGGCCUUCGGGUCGGAAAGCUCUGUCCUCAAGGAAGAGAAUGACGGUACGUGAGGAGGAAGCCACGGCUAACGACGGGCCAGCAGCCGCGGGAAUACGUAGGGGGCGAGCGUUAUCCGGAUUUACUGGGCGUAAAGGGUGCGUAGGUGGUUUCUUAAGUCAGAGGUGAAAGGCUACGGCUCAACCGUAGUCAGCCUUUGAAACUGGGGAACUUGAGUGCAGGAGAGGAGAGUGGAAUUCCUAGUGUAGCGGUGAAAUGCGUAGAUAUUAGGCGGAACCCCAGUUGCGACGGCGGCUCUCUGGACUGUACCUGCCACUGAGGCACGAAAGCGUGGGGAGCAAACAGGAUUAGAUACCCUUGUAGUC
rnacentral:rRNA from 1 species